GACGAACGCUGGCGGCGUGCUUAACACAUGCCAGUCGAACGGAAAGGCCCUGCUUGCAGGGUGCUCGAGUGGCGAACGGGUGAGUAACACGUGGGUGAUCUGCCCCUUAUUUUGGGAUAAGCCUGGGAAACUGGGUCUAAUACUGGAUAGGACCAUGCUGUAGGUGGUGUGGUGGAAAGAUUAGUUUCGGUAAGGGAUGAGCUCGCGGCCUAUCAGCUUGUUGGUGGGGUAAUGGCCUACCAAGGCGUCGACGGGUAGCCGGCCUGAGAGGGUGGACGGCCACAUUGGGACUGAGAUACGGGCCAGACUCCUACGGGAGGCAGCAGUGGGGAAUAUUGCACAAUGGGCGCAAGCCUGAUGCAGCGACGCCGCGUGGGGGAUGACGGCCUUCGGGUUGUAAACUCCUUUCAGCCAUGACGAAGCCCUUGUGGUGACGGUAGUGGUAGAAGAAGCACCGGCUAACUACGUG
rnacentral:rRNA from 1 species